UGGAGCAUUCCGGAAGUUCAGAGGUCAACUUCUGUGGAGCAUUCUGGAAGUUCAGAGGUUAAGCCUUUCUGUCAUCACUUCCACUCAAACCACUGGAAGGAAGGACUGUAUGCCAAAUCUCAACUUUCCUGAAUAGUACAUUGUUUCCUGGUCGGGAAGAAGUCUUGGUAAUGAACAGACAAUUUAUUGACUUCAGGAUUCUAUGAGUAACAGAAAUAUGGAAAGACAGGAUAUUUAUCAAUUAGGCAUCAACCUCAAGGCAAAGUUCCAUAUCUUAUUCAUUCAUCUGUCUUUGAAUUGAGAAUGAGAUGGCUUGGAUGCCAUUGGGUCCACUAUGUAACAUCCUGUUUUGAUUCGAAAAAAUGAUUUCAGAUGUUUCCCAACAGAAAAUAAACCUUCAUGACUAGGGUGCCUUACAAAGCAGGUUGUGGGAGAAAGAGAAGUCAAAUAAGAUUUCAAGACUUUCAGCUGUCAGAAAUAGGUAAAUUAUUUGCCAUUUUAUCAAGAGCAGCAAGGGUGAAGAUAGAUUUUAUGGGAGGGAAUUAGAUGCUGUGUUUUUGACAUGCUGAAUUCUGAGUGUCAGUUAGUCAUGCAUGGUAAUGGCACCUAGGUGUCUUAGUUAGGGUUUCUAUUGCUGUGAAGAGACACCAUGACCAUAGCAACUCUUACAAAGGAAAAUAUUUCAUAGGUUUAGUCCUUUAUCAUCAUGGCAGUGUGCAGGCAGACAUGCUGCUAGAGAGGUGGCUGAGAGUUUUUACAUCUUGAUUCACAGACAAUAGAAAGUAUAUGUCUUACUGGACAUGAUUUGAGCAUAUAUAAGGCCGAAAAGCCCACCUCCACAAUGGCACAUUUCCUCCAACAAGACCACCUAUGCUAACAAGAUCAUUCCUCCUAACAGUGCUGUUCCCUUUGGGAGUCAUUUUUUAAAACCACCACAAUAGGCAGAACCAUAUAUGACUAUUUGCCUUUCAGCUGGGAAAGCAAGAUGGAGAUGGUGAAAGUCACCAGAGCACAGAUAGCAAUUAAAACCACAUCUCUGAGUAUGACCAUUUGAAUAUGAACAUAGAUUAAAUACGUGUUUUGGAAGUGAGCUGCAGAACACACAAACUAGAGGUCAGCAAGUAAGACUGGGCUAGAAAAGGAAACUGAGAGGGGUUGAUCUGGGGCCACAAGCAAACCAGAACUUGUGGCCACCCAAAGCUCAAGCAACAGUGUUCCAAGGAGAGAAGAGGAUUAUAGCAAAUGAUUUCAGGAGAUCUCAACAAGGUAAGGAAUGGUAAGAUCAUCAGAUUUGUAGGUAUAAAAACUCCUGCCAACCUCAGCAAGAAAGGUCACAGUAGACUAGGGGCCGACCAAAAUGGGUUCUCUAAGAAAAGGGAAAAGGGGUAGAGAUUAUGAACUUAGAAUGGAUUUCUAAAGCUUGUUAGUAACACAGACAAGGAGCAAUUGCAGGCUCACUGCCCCUACAAGCUUUUUUUACACACUGGACCAACAAACUCUGGUCUAGCAAUCUGUCUUAAAUACAUGGUGAGAAAUUUGGAUUGUGUUUUAUAUUUAAAGAUGCUUAUGAUACUGCUAUUUAAAUGACUGAAAAUUGGAUAUGAGUUACUAGAAUAGGAAAGCUAAGCAGUUUGUUAUGGUUAUAGUGUAUCAGUGAUGUGGAAUAGUAAACAGUUUCAAAUUAUGAAUUCAAAUCAUUCACGAUGUUGAUAAAGAGAUUGCUGAGGAGGGAACAUAAGUAGUAAUAUAGAAACAAAAGCAGACAAAAAUAAAAUAUAGAAACAAGUAUAAAAAGGGACCAUCAUGUCUCCACAGCAGAAUUGUAAAUUUCAAUACUUUCCUAAUUUUUUCUCUCCUCAGUGCAUAAACCUGUAUGGGUUCAAUGAGGCUGUAUUAUCUCUAACAUCUGUUAUUUACUUUACACCACCCUGGUCAGUCUGGCUGGACAGUGCUUCUAUGCAAUGUAAACUUAGAUAUAAUUAGACUAGCCUGCAAGUGUCUCUCUUCUUUUUGACUGUAAUAAUUAUGGCUAUAAAUGAAAGAAUUUCAAAAUGAGACAGUAUUUUGACUUUUGCUGCUCUGAGUGGAGCUAGAUUCAUAGGCUCUGAUGUACUAAGAAAUCUGUCUCAUAUCUUGGCAUUGCCUUUCUCCAUCUCUCUUCUUUUUCAUUUUAUCAUGAUAUCUUAGUUAGGGUUUCUGUUAUUGUAAUAAAGCACCAUGACCAAAAUCAAUUUGGGUUUAUUUUUCUUACAUCUAGGUAACAGUUAGUUCCUGAGGGAAGUCAGGGAAGAACUCAAGGCACGGCAAGAACCUGGAGGCAGGGAAAGCAGAGGCUGUGAAGGAGUCCUAUUUACUGCCUUGCUUGAAUGACUUGCCAGCCUGAUUCCUAAAGCAUCCAGGACUACCAUCCCAGGGAUGGUGCUGCUCACAAGGGGCUGGACACUUCCACAUUAAGCGUCAGUCAAGAAAAUGCCCCAUUGGCUUGCCCACAGAACUUGAUAAGACUUUAUUUUUGAAGAUAUCACAAACUCACAUCAUAGAACACGGAGCAAUCAAGCUGUUAUUGAUCUGGAAGCAUCAUCUCUCCUGGCAAGAUUUCAGAAUGCUGAAAGAGGAUGAGAACCUGUGGAUUCAUUCCAGUCUAAUAUGGUAUGGUGGACUGAAACCCCCUGAAAGGUUGCUGUGAACACCACCACAAAGAAAAUACUUCGCCCAAUAAACAGCAGGAAACAGUUUGGAGAGAAAAAAACUAUGCCCAUAUUCCCAAAUAUUGCUUAUAAUUUAAAAGGGGAUAUGCUAUAGAGAUGAAUUUUUUACAUCAGUUUGGAUCUUGCUUUAGUGAUACAAAUUUAAGGUCAAUUUUGAUAUAUAUAUAUUUCUGAUCUUGAUUAAGGUAUUGUGUUUGUGUAGCUUAUUUGAAAAUGUAAUGUAUA